rnacentral:rRNA from 1 species
UAAGCAUAUCAAUAAGCGGAGGAAAAGAAACCAACAGGGAUUGCCCUAGUAACGGCGAGUGAAGCGGCAACAGCUCAAAUUUGAAAUCUGAUCUCUUCGAGGUCCGAGUUGUAAUUUGCAGAGGGUGCUUUGGUGUUGGCUGCGGUCUAAGUUCCUUGGAACAGGACGUCAUAGAGGGUGAGAAUCCCGUCUGUGGUCGCAUGUCUUCACCGUGUAAAGCCCCUUCGACGAGUCGAGUUGUUUGGGAAUGCAGCUCUAAAUGGGAGGUAAAUUUCUUCUAAAGCUAAAUACUGGCCAGAGACCGAUAGCGCACAAGUAGAGUGAUCGAAAGAUGAAAAGCACUUUGGAAAGAGAGUCAAACAGCACGUGAAAUUGUUGAAAGGGAAGCGCUUGCAGCCAGACUUGCUUGCAGUUGCUCAUCCGGGCGCUCGCCCGGUGCACUCUUCUGUAGGCAGGCCAGCAUCAGUUUGGGCGGUUGGAUAAAGGCCUCUGUCACGUAUCUUCUCCGGAAGACCUUAUAGGGGAGGCGUAAUGCAACCAGCCUGGACUGAGGUCCGCGCAUCUGCUAGGAUGCUGGCGUAAUGGCUGUAAGCGGCCCGUCUUGAAACACGGACCAAGGAGUCUAACAUCUAUGCGAGUGUUUGGGUGUCAAGCCCGAGCGCGCAAUGAAAGUGAACGGAGGUGGGAACCCUCGGGUGCACCAUCGACCGAUCCUGAUGUCUUCGGAUGGAUUUGAGUAAGAGCAUAGCUGUUGGGACCCGAAAGAUGGUGAACUAUGCUUGAAUAGGGUGAAGCCAGAGGAAACUCUGGUGGAGGCUCGCAGCGGUUCUGACGUGCAAAUCGAUCGUCAAAUUUGGGCAUAGGGGCGAAAGACUAAUCGAACUAUCUAGUAGCUGGUUCCUGCCGAAU